rnacentral:rRNA from 1 species
GGUGGGCGACUCUAAGGAGACUGCCGGUGGACAAACCGGAGGAAGGUGGGGAGUGACGUCAAGUCAUCAUGGCCCUUACGGCCUGGGCGUACACACGUGCUACAAUGGUCGGUACAAAGGGUUGCCAAGCCGCGAGGUGGAGCUAAUCCCAUAAAACCGAUCGUAGUCCGGAUCGCAGUCUGCAACUCGACUGCGUGAAGUCGGAAUCGCUAGUAAUCGUGAAUCAGAAUGUCACGGUGAAUACGUUCCCGGGCCUU